UUGGGAAUCUUGCACAAUGGGGGAAACCCUGAUGCAGCGACGCCGCGUGGAGGAUGAAGGAUCUAGGUCUGUAAACUCCUUUUUCAGGGAAAGACUUAGGACGGUACCCUGAGAAUAAGCUCCGGCUAACUACGUGCCAGCAGCCGCGGUAAGACGUAGGGAGCAAGCGUUGUCCGGAUUUACUGGGCGUAAAGCGCGCGUAGGCGGCCUGUUAAGUGAGAAGUGAAAUCUCCAGAGCUCAACUCGGAAAUUGCUUUUCAUACUGGCAGGCUGGAGGGAUGUAGAGGUGAAUGGAAUUCCCGGUGUAGCGGUGAAAUGCGUUGAUAUCGGGAGGAACACCCAUGGCGAAGGCAGUUCACUGGACAUCUCCUGACGCUGAGGCGCGAAAGCGUGGGUAGCAAACAGG
rnacentral:rRNA from 1 species